GCCGUGAUAGCUCAGUUGGGAGAGCGUUAGACUGAAGUUCAUUAGGUCCCUGGUUCGAUCCCGGGUCGUGGCA